GAACGAAGCGAUCAGGAGGAAGUUUUCGGAUGGAAUCCGGGUUGACUGAGUGGCGGACGGGUGAGUAACGCGUGGGUAACCUGCCCCAUACAGGGGGAUAACAGUUAGAAAUGACUGCUAAUACCGCAUAAGCGCACAGGGAUGCAUGUCCCGGUGUGAAAAACUCCGGUGGUAUGGGAUGGACCCGCGUCUGAUUAGCUGGUUGGCGGGGUAACGGCCCACCAAGGCGACGAUCAGUAGCCGACCUGAGAGGGUGACCGGCCACAUUGGGACUGAGACACGGCCCAAACUCCUACGGGAGGCAGCAGUGGGGAAUAUUGCACAAUGGGGGGAACCCUGAUGCAGCAACGCCGCGUGAGUGAAGAAGUAUUUCGGUAUGUAAAGCUCUAUCAGCAGGGAAGAAGAUGACGGUACCUGAGUAAGAAGCCCCGGCUAACUACGUGCCAGCAGCCGCGGUAAUACGUAGGGGGCAAGCGUUAUCCGGAUUUACUGGGUGUAAAGGGAGCGUAGACGGCGAGGCAAGUCUGGAGUGAAAGCCCGGGGCUCAACCCCGGGACUGCUUUGGAAACUGCCUGGCUGGAGUGCUGGAGAGGCAAGCGGAAUUCCUAGUGUAGCGGUGAAAUGCGUAGAUAUUAGGGAGAACACCAGUGGCGAAGGCGGCUUGCUGGACAGUAACU
rnacentral:rRNA from 1 species